UGGAAACUAGCUUAACCGGUAGAGCGCUAGUCUUUGGUCCUAGUGGUAUGGGUUCGACUCCCGUGUUUCCAA
rnacentral:tRNA from 1 species